GGGGGGGGGGGGGGGCGUGGGUGGGGCGUGCGGGGCGGGCGGACGGAUGCGGAGCUUGCUGCUCUGACGGUAGGGGCGGAGGGGAGAGUCACACGUGGGUAGCCUACCUAUAGGCCUGGGAUACCUGCGGGAAACCGGAGCUCAUCCCGUAUAAUCUAUUUCACCGCAUGGGUCAAUAGUGAGAGACGGCUUUGCUGUCACUUAUCGAUGGCUACGCGCCUCAUUAGCUAGUUGGUAAGGUUACGGCUUCCCAAGGCACCGAUGCGUAGCAGACCUGAGAGGGUGAUCGGCCACACCGGAACUGAGACACGGUCCAGAAUCCUACGGGAGGCAGCAGUAGGGAAUCUUCCGCAAUGGGCGAAAGCCUGACGGAGCAACGGCGCGUGAGUGAGGAAGGGCUGCGGAUCGUAAAACUCUGUUAUUAGGGAAGAACAAAUGUGUAAGUAACUAUGCACGUCUUGACGGUACCUAAUCAGAAAGCAACGGCUAACUACGU
rnacentral:rRNA from 1 species